rnacentral:rRNA from 1 species
UACGUAGGUGGCGAGCGUUGUCCGGAUUUACUGGGCGUAAAGGGAGCGUAGGCGGGCUUUUAAGUGAGAUGUGAAAUACUCGGGCUCAACUUGAGUGCUGCAUUUCAAACUGGAAGUCUAGAGUGCAGGAGAGGAGAAUGGAAUUCCUAGUGUAGCGGUGAAAUGCGUAGAGAUUAGGAAGAACACCAGUGGCGAAGGCGAUUCUCUGGACUGUAACUGACACUGAGGCUCGAAAGCGUGGGGAGCAAACAGG